CCUACGGGAGGCAGCAGUGGGGAAUAUUGGGCAAUGGGCGCAAGCCUGACCCAGCAAAGCCGCGUGCAGGAAGAAGGCUCUACGGUUGUUAACUUCCUUUUAGAGGGGAGUGAAGCCCACGGUACCUCUUGAAUAAGCCACGGCUAACUACGUGCCAGCAGCCGCGGGCAUACGUAGGUGGAAAGCGUUGUCCGGAUUUACUGGGUGUACAGGGCGUGCAGCCGGGAAGACAAGUCAGAUGUGAAAUCCCGCGGGUCAACCGCGGCACUGCAGUUGAAACUGUUUUUCUUGAGUACCGGAGAGGUCAGCGGAAUUCCUGGUGUAGCGGUGAAAUGCGUAGAUAUAAGGAAGAACACCAGUGGCGAAGGCGGAUGACUGGACGGCAACUGACGGUGAGGCGCGAAGGCGUGGGGAGCAAACAGGAUUAGAUACCCGAGUAGUC
rnacentral:rRNA from 1 species